GAUGAACGCUAGCUGCAGGCUUAACACAUGCAAGUCGAGGGGAAACGGCAUUAAGUGCUUGCCCUUUUUAGAGGUCGACCGGCGGUUGGGUGAGUAACGCGUAUCCCACCUUCCUAUGACUAAGCGAUAACCUUGCGCAAGACAGACUAUUACCUUAUGGUCUUCACUGACGGCGUCAGAUGUUUUGUAAAGAUUUAUCGGUUAUCGAUGGGGAUGCGUGUGAUUAGCUUGUUGGCGGUGUAUCCGCCGACAAAGGCAACGAUCAGUAGGGGUUCUGAGAGGAAGGUCCCCGACAGUGGAACUGAGACACGGUCCAAACUCCUACGGGAGGCAGCAGUGAGGAAUAUUGGUCAAUGGGCGAGAGCCUGAACCAGCCAAGUAGCGUGCAGGAUGACGGCCCUAUGGGUUGUAAACUGCUUUUGUAUGGGGAUAAAGUCAAUCACGUGUGAUUGUUUGCAGGUACCAGACGAAUAAGGACCGGCUAAUUCCGUG
rnacentral:rRNA from 1 species